AAAGAGCGCGUAGGCGGGGUAGUAAGUCAGAUGUGAAAUCCUAUGGCUUAACCAUAGAACUGCAUUUGAAACUACUACUCUAGAGUAUGGGAGAGGUAGGUGGAAUUCUUGGUGUAGGGGUAAAAUCCGUAGAGAUCAAGAGGAAUACUCAUUGCGAAGGCGACCUGCUGGAACAUUACUGACGCUGAUGCGCGAAAGCGUGGGGAGCAAACAGGAUUAGAUACCCUGGUAGUCCACGCCCUAAACGAUGAAUGCUAGUUGUUGUGGAGCUUGUCUCUGCAGUAAUGCAGCUAACGCAUUAAGCAUUCCGCCUGGGGAGUACGGUCGCAAGAUUAAAACUCAAAGGAAUAGACGGGGACCCGCACAAGCGGUGGAGCAUGUGGUUUAAUUCGAAGAUACGCGAAGAACCUUACCUAGGCUUGACAUUGAUAGAAUCUGCUAGAGAUAGCGGAGUGCUGGCUUGCCAGAGCUUGAAAACAGGUGCUGCACGGCUGUCGUCAGCUCGUGUCGUGAGAUGUUGGGUUAAGUCCCGCAACGAGCGCAACCCUCGUCCUUAGUUGCUAACAGUUUGGCUGAGCACUCUAGGGAGACUGCCUUCGUAAGGAGGAGGAAGGUGAGGACGACGUCAAGUCAUCAUGGCCCUUACGCCUAGGGCUACACACGUGCUACAAUGGGAUGCACAAAGAGACGCAAUACCGCGAGGUGGAGCAAAUCUCAAAAACAUCUCUCAGUUCGGAUUGUAGUCUGCAACUCGACUACAUGAAGCUGGAAUCGCUAGUAAUCGUGAAUCAGCCAUGUCACGGUGAAUACGUUCCCGGGUCUUG
rnacentral:rRNA from 1 species